rnacentral:misc_RNA from 1 species
GAUGAAGAACGUAGCGAAAUGCGAUAAGUAGUGUGAAUUGCAGAAUUCAGUGAAUCAUCGAAUCUUUGAACGCACAUUGCGCCCUUUGGUAUUCCAAAGGGCAUGCCUGUUCGAGCGUCAUUUGUACCCUCAAGCUUUGCUUGGUGUUGGGCGUCUUGUCUCUCUCCCGAGACUCGCCUUAAAAUCAUUGGCAGCCGGCCUACUGGUUUCGGAGCGCAGCACUUUAUUUGCGCUCUUGUCCAGCCGCGGUCGCGCGUCCAUGAAGCUUCUUUCAAACUUUUGACCUCGGAUCAGGUAGGGAUACCCGCUGAACUUAAGCAUAUCAAUAAGCGGAGGA